rnacentral:tRNA from 1 species
GCCUGGGUGGCUCAGUGGUUGAGCAUCCGGCUUUGGCUCAGGUCGUGAUCCUGGAGUCCUGGGAUCGAGUCCCACAUCAGGCU